rnacentral:rRNA from 5 species
CCCAGACAGCCAGGAUGUUGGCUUAGAAGCAGCCAUCAUUUAAAGAAAGCGUAAUAGCUCACUGGUCGAGUCGGCCUGCGCGGAAGAUGUAACGGGGCUAAACCAUGCACCGAAGCUGCGGCAGCGACGCUUAUGCGUUGUUGGGUAGGGGAGCGUUCUGUAAGCCUGUGAAGGUGGCCUGUGAGGGUUGCUGGAGGUAUCAGAAGUGCGAAUGCUGACAUAAGUAACGAUAAAGCGGGUGAAAAGCCCGCUCGCCGGAAGACCAA